GAUGAAGAACGUAGUGAAAUGCGAUAAGUAAUGUGAAUUGCAGAAUUCAGUGAAUCAUCGAAUCUUUGAACGCACAUUGCGCCCGCCAGCAUUCUGGCGGGCAUGCCUGUUCGAGCGUCAUUUCAACCCUCGAGCCCCCCCGGGGGCCUCGGUGUUGGGGGACGGCACACCAGCCGCCCCCGAAAUGCAGUGGCGACCCCGCCGCGGCCUCCCCUGCGUAGUAGCACACACCUCGCACCGGAGCGCGGAGGCGGUCACGCCGUAAAACGCCCAACUUUCUUAGAGUUGACCUCGGAUCAGGUAGGAAUACCCGCUGAACUUAAGCAUAUCAAUAAGCGGAGGA
rnacentral:misc_RNA from 1 species